AUUGAACGCUGGCGGCAGGCCUAACACAUGCAAGUCGAGCGGAGCGGCGGACGGGUGAGUAAUGCCUAGGAAUCUGCCUGGUCGUGGGGGAUAACGUCAGGAUACGGGCGCUAAUACCGCAUCCUAUCAGAUUAGCCUAGGUCGGAUUAGCUAGUUGGUGGGGUAAAGGCCUACCAAGGCGACGACCCGUAACUGGUCUGAGAGGAUGAUCGGUCACACUGGAACUGCGACACGGUCCAGACUCCUACGGGAGGCAGCAGUGGGGAAUAUUGGACAAUGGGCGAAAGCCUGAUCCAGCCAUGCCGCGUGUGUGAAGAAGGUCUUCGGAUUGUAAAGCACUUUAAGUUGGGAGGCGUUACCAACAGAAUAAGCACCGGCUAACUUCGUGCCAGCAGCCGCGGUAAUAC
rnacentral:rRNA from 1 species